AGAGUUUGAUCAUGGCUCAGGACGAACGCUGGCGGCGUGCUUAAUACAUGCAAGUCGAGCGAUAAUCCGGGACUUACUUUUCGGAGUGAGGACCGGAGGAAAGCGGCGAACGGGUGAGUAACGCGUGGGCAACCUGCCCCGUACAGCGGGAUAACAUCGGGAAACCGGUGCUAAUACCGCAUGAAGCAUAUUAGUGGCAUCACAGAUAUGUUAAAGGGGGAACCCGGUACGGGAUGGGCCCGCGUCCAAUUAGCUAGUUGGUGGGGUAACGGCUCACCAAGGCGACGAUUGGUAGCCGAGCUGAGAGGUUGGUCGGCCACAUUGGGACUGAGACACGGCCCAGACUCCUACGGGAGGCAGCAGUAGGGAAUAUUGCGCAAUGGGGGAAACCCUGACGCAGCGACGCCGCGUGAAGGAAGAGGGUCUUCGGAUCGUAAACUUCUUUGACUGGGGACGAAAGUAAUGACGGUACCCAGGGAACAAGCCACGGCUAACUACGUGCCAGCAGCCGCGGUAAUACGUAGGUGGCGAGCGUUGUCCGGAAUUACUGGGUGUAAAGGGCGUGUAGGCGGGAGAGCAAGUCAGAUGUGAAAGCCCAAGGCUCAACUUUGGGACUGCAUCUGAAACUGUUUUUCUUGAGUACUGGAGAGGGAAGCGGAAUUCCUAGUGUAGCGGUGAAAUGCGUAGAGAUUAGGAGGAACACCAGUGGCGAAGGCGGCUUCCUGGACAGAGACUGACGCUGAGGCGCGAAAGCGUGGGGAGCGAACAGGAUUAGAUACCCUGGUAGUCCACGCCGUAAACGAUGGAUACUAGGUGUAGGAGGUAUCAACUCCUUCUGUGCCGGAGUUAACACAAUAAGUAUCCCACCUGGGGAGUACGGCCGCAAGGUUGAAACUCAAAUGAAUUGACGG
rnacentral:rRNA from 1 species